CGGGUGAAGGAACUAGGCAAAAUGGUACCGUAACUUCGGGAGAAGGUACGCUCUCGACGGUGAAGUCCCUCGCGGAUGGAGCUAUUGAGAGUCGCAGAUACCAGGUGGCUGCAACUGUUUAUUAAAAACACAGCACUGUGCAAAAUCGUAAGAUGACGUAUACGGUGUGACGCCUGCCCGGUGCCGGAAGGUUAAUUGAUGGGGUUAGACUUC
rnacentral:rRNA from 1 species